AUUACCUCAGUAACGGCGAGUGAAGCGGUAACAGCUCAAAUUUGAAAGCUAGCUCUUUUAGGGUUCGCAUUGUAAUUUGUAGAAGAUGCUUCGGGUGUGGCCCCGGUCUAAGUUCCUUGGAACAGGACGUCAUAGAGGGUGAGAAUCCCGUAUGUGACUGGGUGCUUUCGCUCAUGUGAAGCUCUUUCGACGAGUCGAGUUGUUUGGGAAUGCAGCUCAAAAUGGGUGGUAAAUUUCAUCUAAAGCUAAAUAUUGGCCAGAGACCGAUAGCGCACAAGUAGAGUGAUCGAAAGAUGAAAAGCACUUUGGAAAGAGAGUUAAACAGUACGUGAAAUUGUUGAAAGGGAAGCGCUUGCAACCAGACUUGCGCGCUGAUGAUCAUCCGGGCUUCUGCCCGGUGCACUCGUCUGCGCUCAGGCCAGCAUCGGUUUCGGUGGUGGGAUAAAGGCCUUGGGAAUGUAGCUCCUCUCGGGGAGUGUUAUAGCCCUCGGUGCAAUGCCGCCUACCGGGACCGAGGACCGCGCUUCGGCUAGGAUGCUGGCGUAAUGGUUGUAAGCGACCCGUCUUGAAACACGGACCAAGGAGUCUAACAUCUAUGCGAGUGUUUGGGUGUCAAACCCAUACGCGUAAUGAAAGUGAACGGAGGUGAGAACCCUUAAGGGUGCAUCAUCGACCGAUCCUGAUGUCUUCGGAUGGAUUUGAGUAAGAGCAUAGCUGUUGGGACCCGAAAGAUGGUGAACUAUGCGUGAAUAGGGUGAAGCCAGAGGAACUCUGGUGGAGGCUCGCAGCGGUUCUGACGUGCAAAUCGAUCGUCAAAUUUGCGUAUAGGGCGAAAGACUAAUCGAA
rnacentral:rRNA from 1 species